GAUCCUGGCUCAGGAUGAACGCUGGCGGCGUGCCUAAUACAUGCAAGUCGAACGAAUCUCUUUUAGAGAUGAGUGGCGAACGGGUGAGUAAUACAUAGGUAACCUGCCCCUGUGCGGGGGAUAACAGGAGGAAACUCCUGCUAAUACCGCAUAGCCAUGAGCACCGCAUGGAGCUCAUGCCAAAUAUCCUUUCGGGGAUAGCGCAGGGAUGGACCUAUGGCGCAUUAG
rnacentral:rRNA from 1 species